rnacentral:rRNA from 1 species
GUGGGGAAUCUUGCGCAAUGGGCGAAAGCCUGACGCAGCCAUGCCGCGUGAAUGAUGAAGGUCUUAGGAUUGUAAAAUUCUUUCACCGGGGACGAUAAUGACGGUACCCGGAGAAGAAGCUCCGGCUAACUUCGUGCCAGCAGCCGCGGUAAUACGAAGGGGGCUAGCGUUGCUCGGAAUUACUGGGCGUAAAGGGCGCGUAGGCGGACAGCUUAGUCAGAGGUGAAAGCCCAGGGCUCAACCUUGGAAUUGCCUUUGAUACUGGCUGUCUUGAGUUUGGGAGAGGUGAGUGGAACUCCGAGUGUAGAGGUGAAAUUCGUAGAUAUUCGGAAGAACACCAGUGGCGAAGGCGACUCACUGGCCCAAUACUGACGCUGAGGUGCGAAAGCGUGGGGAGCAAACAGGAUUAGAUACCCGGGUAGUCC